rnacentral:rRNA from 1 species
GUAGGGAAUAUUGGGCAAUGGACGCAAGUCUGACCCAGCCAUGCCGCGUGCAGGAUGAAGGCCUUCUGGGUUGUAAACUGCUUUUAUCUAGGAAGAAAAUGUCCUUGCGAGGAAAACUGACGGUACUAGAUGAAUAAGCACCGGCUAACUCCGUGCCAGCAGCCGCGGUAAUACGGAGGGUGCAAGCGUUGUCCGGAUUUAUUGGGUUUAAAGGGUGCGUAGGCGGCGUAAUAAGUCCGUGGUGAAAGCCAACAGCUCAACUGUUGAACUGCCAUGGAUACUGUUAGGCUUGAGUACAGACGAGGUAGGCGGAAUGGAUCGUGUAGCGGUGAAAUGCAUAGAUACGAUCCAGAACUCCGAUUGCGAAGGCAGCUUACUAGGCUGUAACUGACGCUGAGGCACGAAAGCGUGGGGAGCGAACAGGAUUAGAAACCCGAGUAGUCC